rfam:Gossypium arboreum cultivar AKA8401 contig_20646_1, whole genome shotgun sequence.
UUUUGAAAAUUUUAUCUAUUUUUAUUAUUAAAAAUAGGUGUGACUGAUGAAAUAACUAGAUAGUUAUACUUUGUGAGCCACGUGUACUUCCUGUUAAUGUACAAAAAUCAAUUUUGAACAGUAUAAAUGGAUAAAAUUUUUAACA